CGGCAACAGCUCAAAUUUGAAAUCUGGCCCUCGGGUCCGAAUUGUAAUUUGUAGAGGAUGCUUCGGGUACAUCCCCGGUACAAGUUCCUUGGAACAGGACGUCAGAGAGGGUGAGAAUCCCGUACCUGACCGGGUGCUAUACCUAUGUGAAGCUCCUUCGAC
rnacentral:rRNA from 1 species